ACACGCCUCCAUUUACCUCGAAGAUCCGAAUCAUCCUUUGGAUAAAGCCGUUUCAAAUACAACCAUGCAACUGAAGAUUGUUUGUCUACUUCUGGUCGCCACUGUGGCCAUGACAGCCGCAUACAGGGGUCAGUACAACUCUCUGAGGAACCAAGGGAUUUACGGUCGCUACGGCUACGACAUUGAGGUUCCUGACUUCCCCGACUUUGACAGCUACAUGUACAGAUAUCUGAUGACGAGAGGUCGUCGACAAGGUAGACAGAGCAGACAGAACACGAACCGCUACAACAGUUUGAGGAAUCUUGCCAGACUUGAGGCUCAUGACCUUAUCUGAGAAUACACCGGUGUCAUAUUGACAUGACAUAAAUAUGGCUAUUGGAAGGGGUUUCAUAUUUAACCACAAAUUUACGUAGAAAAUAAACAUUUGAAAUAAUAUAU